UACGGAGGGUGCAAGCGUUAUCCGGAUUUAUUGGGUUUAAAGGGUGCGUAGGCGGCCUAUUAAGUCAGGGGUGGAAGACGGUAGCUUAACUAUCGCAGUGCCCUUGAUACUGAUGGGCUUGAAUGUACUUGAGGUAGGCGGAAUGUGACAAGUAGCGGUGAAAUGCAUAGAUAUGUCACAGAACACCAAUUGCGAAGGCAGCUUACUAAAGUAUGAUUGACGCUGAGGCACGAAAGCGUGGGGAUCAAACAGG
rnacentral:rRNA from 1 species